AGUCGAACGGUAAGGCCCCUUCGGGGGUACACGAGUGGCGAACGGGUGAGUAACACGUGGGCGACCUGCCCUGUACUUCGGGAUAAGCCUGGGAAACUGGGUCUAAUACCGGAUAUGACCUUCCCCUGCAUGGGGGUUGGUGGAAAGCUUUUGCGGAACAGGAUGGGCCCGCGGCCUAUCAGCUUGUUGGUGGGGUAAUGGCCUACCAAGGCGACNACGGGUAGCCGGCCUGAGAGGGCGACCGGCCACACUGGGACUGAAACACGGCCCANACUCCUACNGGAGGCAGCANUGGGGAAUAUUGCACAAUGGGCGAAAGCCUGAUGCAGCGACGCCUCUUGAGGGAUGACNGCCUUCGGGUUGUAAACCUCUUUCAGUUNGGAC
rnacentral:rRNA from 1 species